rnacentral:rRNA from 1 species
CCUACGGGAGGCAGCAGUGGGGAAUAUUGCACAAUGGGGGAAACCCUGAUGCAGCGACGCCGCGUGAGUGAAGAAGUAUUUCGGUACGUAAAGCUCUAUCAGCAGGGAAGAAAAUGACGGUACCUGACUAAGAAGCCCCGGCUAACUACGUGCCAGCAGCCACGGUAAUACGUAGGGGGCAAGCGUUAUCCGGAUUUACUGGGUGUAAAGGGAGCGUAGACGGCAGCGCAAGUCUGGAGUGAAAUCCCAUGGCUUAACCAUGGAACUGCUUUGGAAACUGUGCAGCUAGAGUGCAGGACAGGUAAGCGGAAUUCCUAGUGUAGCGGUGAAAUGCGUAGAUAUUAGGAGGAACACCAGUGGCGAAGGCGGCUUACUGGACUGUAACUGACGUUGAGGCUCGAAAGCGUGGGGAGCAAACAGGAUUAGAUACCCCGGUAGUC